rnacentral:rRNA from 1 species
AGAGUUUGAUCCUGGCUCAGGACGAACGCUGGCGGCGUGCCUAAUACAUGCAAGUAGAACGCUGAAGACUUUAGCUUGCUAAAGUUGGAAGAGUUGCGAACGGGUGAGUAACGCGUAGGUAACCUGCCUACUAGCGGGGGAUAACUAUUGGAAACGAUAGCUAAUACCGCAUAACAGCAUUUAACCCAUGUUAGAUGCUUGAAAGGAGCAAUUGCUUCACUAGUAGAUGGACCUGCGUUGUAUUAGCUAGUUGGUGAGGUAACGGCUCACCAAGGCGACGAUACAUAGCCGACCUGAGAGGGUGAUCGGCCACACUGGGACUGAGACACGGCCCAGACUCCUACGGGAGGCAGCAGUAGGGAAUCUUCGGCAAUGGGGGCAACCCUGACCGAGCAACGCCGCGUGAGUGAAGAAGGUUUUCGGAUCGUAAAGCUCUGUUGUAAGAGAAGAACGUGUGUGAGAGUGGAAAGUUCACACAGUGACGGUAACUUACCAGAAAGGGACGGCUAACUACGUGCCAGCAGCCGCGGUAAUACGUAGGUCCCGAGCGUUGUCCGGAUUUAUUGGGCGUAAAGCGAGCGCAGGCGGUUUAAUAAGUCUGAAGUUAAAGGCAGUGGCUUAACCAUUGUUCGCUUUGGAAACUGUUAGACUUGAGUGCAGAAGGGGAGAGUGGAAUUCCAUGUGUAGCGGUGAAAUGCGUAGAUAUAUGGAGGAACACCGGUGGCGAAAGCGGCUCUCUGGUCUGUAACUGACGCUGAGGCUCGAAAGCGUGAGGAGCAAACAGGAUUAGAUACCCUGGUAGUCCACGCCGUAAACGAUGAGU